GGGAGGGAGGGGGCCACAGGGCUGUGUUGGAACCAGACGGAACUGGCUUGCAGAACCAACUGUUCCAUUUUUAGUAUUUUGAAGAGGACCAAUGACAUCUCCAGGUGAAGUUUCGACUUGCGCAUGAAUUAGAUUUAAGUGAGGCACAGCAGCAUGAAAUGGGGAAACUGAGGCCCAGGGAGAUCACACAAGCUACAAGUGGAGGAGCGAGGAUUCAAACUCAGAUUCUGCAAGUCCAGCUCUGAUCCAUUUC